GUGUCAAGAAGGCACAGAUGCCAUCCCCCUGGAGAACGACCAACUUCUCAAGAGAGCCUUAGCACAUGUGGGUGGCUGGUUGGUAAACUGCAGGAAUGCUGGGUAUUUGUGAUGGCUCUGUUGGUUUCUUGUUACCGCUGUAACAAAUUAUUGCAUGCUAAGUGGCUUAAAAUGACACAGACUUACUGACUUACUAUCUUCCAUUUUGGAGGUCAGAAGUCCAAACUAGGUCUUACUGAGCUAAAAUCAAGGUGUUGGCAAGGGCUGUGCUCCUUCUAGAGGCUGUAGGGGAAAUCUGUUUUCUUACCUUUCCAGCUUCGAGGCUGCCCACAUUCCUUGGCUUAGGACCCUGUAUCACUCCAGCGUCUGCUUCAUUUUGCACAUCUUCUCAGGGAAGUACUCUUACAAACGACCCUUGUGCUUAGCAUGGAGCCUAUCUGCAUAAUCCAGGAUAAUCUCCCCAUGGCAAGAUUGUUAAGUGAAUCCCACAAGCAGAAUCGCUUUUGCCAUGUAAGGUAAUACUCACAGGUUCUAGGGAUAAGGAUGUGGACCCUUUGCAGGGUUGUGGGGGCAUAUCUUUACCUUUGCCAAUGGGCAAGAAGACAUCAGGUGGUAAAGAUGGACUUAUUUCUCUGGCUAGUUUUCUCAGAAGCCUUCCUGAACUUCUGAAAUCACCCUGUUGGUAUAAUGGGAAUGAUUAUUUCUGUUUGGGGGGAAUGUAACAUAAACUAUACAACUUAGCUUUAUUCCUGCUCAUGGUACAGUUGGUUGAAAGGCAACUCCUUUUUACCUGUUUCCCCCUCCCCCCUUCUUGUUUCCCAAGACAAAAUUCUACCACUUUCUGGCUAUAUUCUAUAUUUGUCUCUUUUUUUCAAAUCUGACAACUAAACCCCAAAACGUCAGUCUCUAAAUGUUGUAUAUUUCUUGUCUCUGAUAUGAGGAAGGUCACUGUCUUCACUUGGAAGGACUGGAGCAGGUGGUCUGUCUAGUGUCUGUUCAGAAUGUGCAUUGCAUGAUAUCACAGUGGUUGGGCCUGGGAGGUCUUAGUGAGGGGGACUGGACCCUGAGGACCUUUUAGAAUUUCUGUUCUGGAUAGCAGAAAAAGCACAGAAUGUUUAUCACCUGAUGAAUGAAUAAAAUGUGGUAUAUCCAUACAAUGUAAUAGUAUUCAACCCUAAAAAGGAAUGAAGUAUUGAUAUAUGCUACUAUGUAGAUGAAUAUUUAUUUCUUAUGUAAAUUUUUUUUUUUUUUUUUUUUUUUGCUUUUUAGGGCCACAACCUUGGCGUAUGAAAGUUCUCAGGCUAGAGGUUGAAUUGGAGCUGCAGCUGCCAGCCUACUCCACAGCUGCAGCAAUGUGGGAUCUGAGCCUCAUCUGUGACCUACAGCACAGCUCAUGGCAACGCCAGAUCCUUAACCCACUUAGUGAGGCCAGGGAUCGAACUGCAUCCUCAUGGACCCUAGCCAGGUUUGUUACUGUUGAGCUACAAUGGGAACUCCUGUAGAUGAAUUUUUAAAACACUACAAAAACGUGACAUAUUUAAUGAUUCUAUUUACUUGAAAUAUCUUGCAUAAAUAAAUCCAUGGUGAUAAAAUUGAUUACUGGUUGCCAGGGGCUGGGGAGGGAGUGACCAUUUAAUGGUAUGGAGUUUCCUUUUAAGAUGAUGAAAAAAUUUUGGAACUAUAUAGAGGUGGUAGUUGUACAAUAUUGUGAAUAUAUGAAAUGCUACUUAAUUAUUAAAUUUAAAAUAGUUAAGUUUUUGUGAUGAGCGUUUUACCUCAAUUAAGGAAAAAGACUUCAUAUUUCUGGUCCAACAUGUAACAAGCUUCGAAAUUUCCUGCAUCCUAACAAUAGAUAAAAGCUGAACAACCUGAAAAAUGAACAACUUUUCUUGGAUCCCUAAGGGAACUGAGGUCACACAGGGCAAACUAGUGCCCCAGAACUGGCAGGGCAGGAGAAUACAGAGAAUCUCAACUUAGCAGAGCAGCAGCUUCCCUAGGGACCAGUGCCUGGGUAGAGAAAGCUCAGUUUUCAGUAAUGGAAAAAUUACCAGAGGUGCAGUGUGGACAGCUCGGGAGAGUGGAUAACUAACUACAGGGGACCUAGUUACCGAGUGGCCCUCCAUACUGCUGUGCUCUUUACCUUCUGGACCUCAGUGGAAAACGGAGAAACAUCCCAUCAAGCUUCUGGCAGGAAGAGGGGGAAAGGAAUGACUUUGAAAUAAGCUAGAGCUUAACAAAGUCUGCCCUCAGGAGAAUUACUUUACUGGAGUCUAACUUCCCUGGAAGGAGGGAAAUACCCAACUCUAGCUGCCUCUAGCCAGGCU
rnacentral:lncRNA from 1 species